GGUGGCUGAUGACGAAGAGCGGCUGACAUCCAUAGGCUGAGGUGGUCAUCGGUGUAGCUGAUUGGUGCCUCUUCUGCGGUGGAUGCUUUCUGCUGAGCAUGGCUUGCUCUUCCCGGUUCUUCCCACCCUGAGCCCAGCCCUGGUGGCCAUCCACGUAGGAGUCCUCCAUCUCCAACCUCCUUGUCCUUGGUCUUCCACGGCACUGAAAUAGCCAGCCAGGUCAUUCACCACUGCCCGUGAGCCCGAAUAUAUUCUCAUUCUGGGCCGCCUUUCUUUUGCUCAGCACACAUAACCAGGUAGCAGAUAGGAUAACGUUGUUCCAGAGCUGGGCUUGCAUCCUGCCUUUCCCUUGAGCUGACCAUCGGCUCCUCACAUCCUCAUCUCCACUAGCUUCACGACUGUUGGAUCAUGUGGCCUGAGCAGAACUGUUCUGCCUGCAGCCUGGGCCUGGAUACCACAUCAGUAGACAGUGCCCUGUGCUGCAUCACCCCCGCUGACCUGCUGGAAGUAUUUAAGGUAUUUGUUUUUGAUAAGAGGUCAGAUCUGCAGUGUCACGGCUCACAGGAAUUUUGUGGGCUAUUGUGCACACGUCUGAGAAGCAGAUAGAUUUUACGGUGCUGACAUUCCACCCAUCAGCAAACAUUUAAGCUCAGUGCUGUCUGAGUGCCUGCUGACCCCAUGGCCUCUCUGGUCUGGAAGAUGGAAGUGCCAGUCCUGUGUCAGCUCAUCUGAUUUAUCACAGAGUCUCUGGUAUCCAGCCUGACGCCUGGCACACAGAGUAUAGUCUAUAAGUGGUACCUUUUAUUAUGAUCCUGCUCCCUUCUUUGUCAUCUACUCCCCUCUCCUCUCCCACCUCCAAAUGUCUCAGUUACCAGAACAUUGCCCCAAAGAGUUUCUUCUUAUUUACCAUAGCUUUGCUUUGGCUUCACAUUGGUUACAACCUAACGCCCAGCCCUGCUGCUUCACUGUGGGGCUCCACAGAGAAGAACCACCUUUCAUCUCCUCAAAGGGUUCACUCUUCGCAUUUCACCAAGAAGAUGAAAGAAUGGGGGGAGUGAGGGAAGCUCUCCAGGACCUUCAAAAAGGAGCAAGCUAAUUGCGCAGUGGUAAAGAAUUCACCUGCCAAUGCAGGAGACACAGGAGACUCAGGUUCAAUC